CAUGCGUUUGUUUUUACGUAAUGGACCGCCGGUCCACUACGGGAAAAUAAUGGAUCGCUGAAAGUGAUUCUCAGCCAAUCACAGAUUCACAGUCCGCCAUUUCACCGGAAGUGAUGCUUGCCAUAUAAUAAAACUUUUAAUAUACCGUAGAACCUCUUUUUAUAGUCUUGAUAACUACUAUUCCAUUCUUUAACUUAAGAAAUGUAUUUUACGUGUGUAUGCAGGAUGAAACUUAUAUCUGACCGUGUUUAAUUUAGCGAGCUUAAUUAAGCAAGCGACGGUCAACACGGACACAGAAUAGAUACAGGACCAGAAGUGUCACUCAGACGAUAUUUUGUCCUGUGCUGAGUGCUGACGUGAAGAUACGCCGCCAUAUGACGCCAUCCUGGAGUGCACACGGAAGUUUUUCAUAGGAAAACAUAGGUACAAAGUGCCGGGUGCACUCCAGGAUGGCGUCAUAGCACGCAAAAAAAAUUCGGACGUUUUCCUUCAGCCAAAACACAUAGGAGUGACACUUCUGGUCCUGUAUCUAUUCUGUGACACGGACGUCAGAUUGCCGAGGGGGGACUGGAUCAAAAACUGUGUUUGUAUCAGUUUGCAACACAUAAGACAAGAUGCAAGAUUCUUAAAAUAUACCAAUUUUUGGGUGACGUCCGUGUUGACAAAAACGUCGUUUAAGUUCACUAAUAAGUAAUUAAACAAUGCUCAAUAGCUAUAUACUUUAACAUCUGACUCUUCCACAGUCCCUAACACUGCUUCUAACACAAAGGACCAUGGGAAUGCCCCGAGGCGUCACAUUCCCAUCAAUCAGCGCGCGUUGGGUAAUUCAACGCGCGUUAGGUAAGCGACUGGGGACGAGUCAGCUUUAACAUCAUCAAUCUUACGCGUUUAUACGUUUAUCCAUAUUAAAUUUCGCUACAAAUACAUACCAUAAUGACAUGUGCAAAGGGGUGUAAAUAUGACCAUAAAUAUACCAUAAUAUAAAUGAUUUCUUCAAAGGGUUGUAAAUAUCGAGGUGUAAAUAUGACCAUAAGUAUACCAUAAUAUAAAUUAUUUCUUCAAAGCCAGUGUAGGUAUAUAGUGGCAAUAGUAACAAAAAACGUCGGAU